UACGUAGGCAGCGAGCGUUGUUCGGAGUUACUGGGCGUAAAGGGUGUGUAGGCGGUUCUUUAAGUUUGGUGUGAAAUCUCCCGGCUCAACUGGGAGGGUGCGCCGAAUACUGAGGGACUAGAGUACGGGAGAGGAAAGUGGAAUUCCUGGUGUAGCGGUGAAAUGCGUAGAUAUCAGGGGGGAACACCGGUGGUGUAGACGGCUUCUGGACCGUAACUGACGCUGAGACACGAAAGCGUGGGUAGCAAACAGGAAUUGAGAUACCC
rnacentral:rRNA from 1 species